rnacentral:lncRNA from 1 species
GCAAGACUGAGGCUGGCAGCAAAUGAGAAGGCUGAGGCAGAGAAGAUAUUGCAAAUCAAACGAGCUGAAGGGGUGGCUGAGGCAAAAUACCUGUCUGGACUUGGGAUAGCAUGUCAGCGCCAGGCUAUUGUUGAUGGGUUAAGAGACAGUGUGCUUGCCUUCUCUGAGAAUGUUCCUGGAACAACCUCCAAGGAUGUCAUGGACAUGGUUCUGGUGACUCAAUACUUCGACACCAUGAAGGAGAUCGGAGCAUCCUCGAAGUCCUCAUCUGUUUUUAUCCCACAUGGACCUGGUGCUGUUAAGGACAUUGCUACACAAAUCAGGGAGGGACUCCUUCAGGCCAAUCAAGUUCAGAAGUAGAUAUUCUGCUGAUAUGCAAAGUCCUUUACUAGUCCUAGUGCUUAUCAUAGUCCUGCAUUUGGUGUUUCUAAUAUCUAAACUUUAUUAGUAUUUUAUUCCAAGCACCGUCCUUUGUUAUAUUAUUACUUGCACAAUGGGGGGAAAAAAAGGGCUCGAGUGAAAUCAUUUGUAUAUGCAAUAUGCUUCCGUUAUAAUUUUUCGCCAUAAUCAUAAUAUUAGGAUAUUAGGACUAAUUAUUUCGAUCACUAUAAGGAGUUUAUUACAUAAUAGCUGUAUAGUUAUAA